rnacentral:rRNA from 1 species
AUUGAACGCUGGCGGCAGGCUUAACACAUGCACGUCGAACGAGUGGCGGACGGGUGAGUAAUGCUUGGGACUAUGGCUUAUGGAUGGGGAUAACGACGGGAAACUGUCGCUCAUACCGCGUAACAUAGGAUGAGCCCACGUGGGAUUAGGUAGUUGGUGGGGUAAUGGCCUACCAAGCCGACGAUCUCUAGCUGGUCUGAGAGGAUGACCAGCCACACCGGGACGUAGACACGGCCAGGAAGCCUACGGGAGGCAGCAGUGGGGAAUAUUGCGGAAUGGGGGCAACCUGACGCAGCCAUGCCGCGGGAAUGAAGAAGGCCGUCGGGUUGGAAAGUUCUUUCGGUGACGAGGCGUUAAUCGCAGAAGAAGCACCGGCUAACUCCGUGACAGCCGCCGCGGUAAUAC